GAUGAACGCUGGCGGCGUGCCUAAUACAUGCAAGUCGAGCGAACGGACGAGAAGCUUGCUUCUCUGAUGUUAGCGGCGGACGGGUGAGUAACACGUGGAUAACCUACCUAUAAGACUGGGAUAACUUCGGGAAACCGGAGCUAAUACCGGAUAAUAUUUUGAACCGCAUGGUCAAAAGUGAAAGACGGUCUUGCUGUCACUUAUAGAUGGAUCCGCGCUGCAUUAGCUAGUUGGUAAGGUAACGGCUUACCAAGGCAACGAUGCAUAGCCGACCUGAGAGGGUGAUCGGCCACACUGGAACUGAGACACGGUCCAGACGCCUACGGGAGGCAGCAGUAGGGAAUCUUCCGCAAUGGGCGAAAGCCUGACGGAGCAACGCCGCGUGAGUGAUGAAGGUCUUCGGAUCGUAAAACUCUGUUAUUAGGGAAGAACAUAUGUGUAAGUAACUGUGCACAUCUUGACGGUACCUAAUCAGAAAGCCACGGCUAACUACGUG
rnacentral:rRNA from 1 species